UAAUAUUCCAUCAUAAUUACCAUCAUUCGGCAAGCUAACUUUAAACAUGUGCAGGAGUCGUGACGCCCUAAGCAGGAACAUGUAUUCAUAAAAAGUUGGCAAUGCUAGGUGUUAUUGACCAUCAAACACUACUUUUGGUUUUAACCUUCCUUUUGCUUUUCACGAACCUGUCUUCAUGAUUAGAGAAUAUUACCUUUUGCCUGUGCUUUCACGUACUCACCAAGAAUAAUAGAAUCAGACAUAGUUUGGAGCAUCAUACCUCUUGGCAGGCCUUUCCUCACCUGCCGGUGGUUUCAUGGCUCGUGUCAGUAGAUGACGAAAUCAUCAAGUCGAGCUGGUGUUCAUCGUACUGACCAAGCAGAAAUGAACAUCAGAGAUGCUAUUGCCAAGUUCAGAGAAAUAAUUAUCCUAAAGUGCUCGAUGAUUAUGGGCUUAAAUACUGCUCUGUAGAACUCUGUUCUUGGGUAUUCAUCACGGCUCCCUCUUUUUCAUGUAUCUUCACCGGCAGACCUAAU
rnacentral:lncRNA from 1 species